rnacentral:rRNA from 1 species
GAUGAACGCUAGCGGCAGGCUUAAUACAUGCAAGUCGAACGGUAACAGGUCUUCGGACGCUGACGAGUGGCGCACGGGUGAGGAACACGUACACAAUCUACCUUAUACUGGAGAAUAGCCCCGGGAGACUGGGAUUAAUACUCCAUAGUCUUUAAUGAUCACAUGAGAAAUAAAGUAAAGCUUCGGCGGUAUAAGAUGAGUGUGCGUCCCAUUAGAUUGUUGGUGAGGUAACGGCUCACCAAGUCGACGAUGGGUAGCUGGCGUGAGAGCGCGACCAGCCACACUGGCACUGAGACACGGGCCAGACUCCUACGGGAGGCAGCAGUAGGGAAUAUUGGUCAAUGGACGAAAGUCUGAACCAGCCAUGCCGCGUGGAGGAUGACUGCCCUCUGGGUUGUAAACUCCUUUUAUAUGGGAAGAAACCUCUGGAUUCACUCCAGAGCUGACGGUAUCAUAUGAAUAAGCACCGGCUAACUCCG